GACGAACGCUGGCGGCGUGCUUAACACAUGCAAGUCGAACGGAAAGGCCCUGCUUUUGUGGGGUGCUCGAGUGGCGAACGGGUGGGUAACACGUGAGUAACCUGCCCUUGACUUUGGGAUAACUUCAGGAAACUGGGGCUAAUACCGGAUAGGAGCUCCUGCUGCAUGGUGUGGGUUGGAAAGUUUCGGCGGUUGGGGAUGGACUCGCGGCUUAUGCGCUUGUUGGUGGGGUAGUGGCUUACCAAGGCUUUGACGGGUAGCCGGCCUGAGAGGGUGACCGGCCACAUUGGGACUGAGAUACGGCCCAGAAUCCUACGGGAGGCAGCAGUGGGGAAUAUUGCACAAUGGGCGGAAGCCUGAUGCAGCAACGCCGCGUGCGGGAUGACGGCCCUCGGGUUGUAAACCGCUUUCGCCGGUGACGAAGCGUGAGUGACGGUAAUGGGUAAAGAAGCACCGGCUAACUACGUG
rnacentral:rRNA from 1 species